rfam:Lysinibacillus sinduriensis BLB-1 = JCM 15800 contig5, whole genome shotgun sequence.
CCAAGCUCCGCGUCGACGAAAACGCAACGUCCUGUUGCAUCGUCGACAUGACUCACAUCGUGUGAG